rnacentral:lncRNA from 10 species
CUCGUGUAUAAAUAUACAAUUGACUUUGGUGUUGAUCUUGCAUCCUGUGAUCAGAUCUUCUGAAGACCUACCACUUAUUUACUCACUCAAUCAGUAAGUGGUGAAUUUAAAUGCUGAAACAGUACUACUCAACAUACCUUCUGUGAGUCAACUGUUAUGAGCAACACCUGGAUCUCAUUAGAAAUGCAGAAUACGAGGUCCCAUCCAAGACUCAGUGAGUAAGAAUUUCCAGAGUUGAGCCCAGGACUGUCUACCUGCUUUAACAAGCCCUCCAACAGAAUCUCCAUGUACUAGAUUUCGAGAUGUGCUAGGCUGAAGUAUGUGCAUCCUUCAGAAAUCAAAAUCUUCUGGAUUCAUUUUACAUUUAAUCGUCCUUCACUAUUUCCCUUUAGUACUAUCUCUACUAGAAAGAAACAAAUGAGGUGGUCCACG